rnacentral:rRNA from 1 species
GACAGAGGGUGCAAACGUUGUUCGGAAUUACUGGGCGUAAAGCGCGUGUAGGCGGCUCGAUAAGUCGGAUGUGAAAGCCCUGGGCUCAACCUAGGAAGUGCAUUCGAAACUGCUGAGCUUGAGUUCUGGAGAGGAAGGCGGAAUUCUCGGUGUAGAGGUGAAAUUCGUAGAUACUGGGAGGAACACCGGUGGCGAAGGCGACCAUCUGGACUAUAACUGACACUGAUGUUCGAAAGCGUGGGUAGCAAACAGG